UACGUAGGUGACCAGCGUUGUCCGGAUUUACUGGGCGUAAAGAGCGCGCAGGCGGUCGUUCAAGUCGAGUGUGAAAGCCCCCGGCUCAACUGGGGAGGGUCACGCGAUACUGAUCGACUGGAAGGCAGGAGAGGGUAGUGGAAUUCCCGGUGUAGUGGUGAAAUGCGUAGAUAUCGGGAGGAACACCAGUGGCGAAGGCGACUACCUGGCCUGUUCUUGACGCUGAGGCGCGAAAGCUAGGGGAGCAAACGGG
rnacentral:rRNA from 1 species